GAAAUUAGGGCUUUUUAAUUUCUGUCUGGUUUAUAAGGAUUGCUCUCUUGCUUGCUGCUCUCAUAAUUUUCCUUUCAACUAUUACCACCAGGACCUGUUUUAAACCCCCGAGUCUGUAUCACUUCACCAGCACUAAUUAAAACCCCUUCAGCAGCACCACUUAGAAACCCUCUAAAAUCUGCAUCCCCCUCACCAGCACCGCAAACCCAUCCAUGAGAAAAAGCUGAAGGAUGAAAUGCUGGAGCUGAACUUUAGAUUGCAAAAAUAAAAAUACAUACAUUGAGGAACAUUGAAUGGGGAUUAUCAUGAGAUGUUCAUGUCUGUUAAUGCAACUUUUAUGCCUAGAAACAAAACUGGCCGUUCUGAAUCGAUUCUAGUUAUUCGUUGCAGAGGAUCUUACCAAGGUAUUGGAAAAGGAUUUGGCAAUAUGUUGGUUAUUCAUUGCCUUAGGGAGUGAAAUGGUUGAAGUAUCAGGAGGAACAAGGAAGUAUUAACCUAAAUGACCAGGAGGUGAGACUGUCAUAGUGAAAUUAUUUGAAUGGUGGACGAAGCACAGGGCAAGGAAGCAGCUGGCUGAUAAGGUCCUACUCUGUUCUCAUUUUAUGUAAUCUAAUUGAGUUUGAAUGAUUCUGUGACUUGUCUUGUCUGUUCUGUUGGUUUGUGUUAAUCCACAGUUGUUCCACAACAUUUUUUACGGACUCUCAUACAUUGUCUUCUGUUCGCAGGAUCGUUCUCUUGCUAUCUCAUAGCCUGCCUUCAUUAAUUACCACCGACUUCAGUGAUGUUUGGUUGGGCUGUGGAAACUCAAAUUGAUGUUUGGUAGUUCAUCAAUUUGAGUUUGAAAAGUUUUAUUUUCUAUUCUUUUGUUUUGUGGCAUAUGGUCAAGUAAUUAGUCAAAAUUGUUUGCUUUGUUGGAUUGUGAAGCUUCUCUUUGUGACGAUAGCUAAGAAACAUAAUUGCCAUACAAAAUUUAUCCCCGUUUCUUUCUUGGAACUCAAUCUUUUUGAUGUGAUUUGGUUGGAUCACUCGCUCUAAUGUCACGACUCGUGCUUUAACUCCCCUUAGAAAAAAUGUUGAGUGUGCAAUUAGGUUAUGCUUGGCUUGUUACUGUAUAUUCAACUGUUAAGUCCCCAGGUCAUGUGAGAGUUCUCUUUGGGGAGUCUUGACGGUCUAGUGAAGGUCUUAUAUAUAUGCAUAUCCUGAAUUGGUAUAGCAACUCUGAGGGCUACAUGCAUGUUGUAGAUUUCUCUUAGAUUUGACAUGAUGUAAGAUGUGGUUUUUUACUUUAAAGUUUUAAUCUUGAUUUUUUUUUCUUUGUGAUAAUAUUAAAGUUUACUUACUUAGAAAUGGUAUGAACUCAGACAGACUGCAUUGUUGCAGCAUAACAAGAUGGUGAUGCUAAACCAACCACCAAGGAAGAAUAUUGUAGCUACACUGGAGCAAACCAAAACUUCAUCACGAAACAAGACCCUGAAAUGCUGGAAACCUUCAGACUUUGCGUCUGCAGUAAAAUAAGCAGUCCGGUAGUCGAACAAGUUGCAGGAAAACUAACCAACUUGGACUUGAGUGGUUGAGAAAAUUAGCGGUCCUGCUCUGGAAGUGAUUGCCAAGGGUUGUAAAUUCCUUGCAGGGCUAUGGUCAUGCGUCCACUUGAGGUUGUAGACAAAGAUUCCCAAGAUGAUGAAGCUCAUGUAUUUGAAACCGUAGUGGCAAACAUGAAAUACUUUGAAAUGAGAUCAUCUCAAACUAUGACGACGAUUCAAGGAUGAACAAAGACCCGCAAGAACUUGAAAUCAUUGCUACUCUUGUUUAUACUGCCGGUCUAGUUUACUAGUUAUUAUGAGUUUGCACUUCUUUUCUGCUUGG